CGUUGUUGCAGUUAAAAAGCUCGUAGUUGAAAUGAAGGGUAGUUGUGUAAUGAAUACAUUCGUGUAUUUUGUUAUUCUACUACCCUCCUUCUAAAUUCGAUAUAUGAGUAUUAAUUUACUUGUAUAUGGUUUUAGACUUUUACUGUGAGAAAAUUAGAGUGUUCAAAGCAGGCAUUUGCUUGAAUAUAUUAGCAUGGAAUAAUCAUGUAUGAUUUUCAUGAUGUAUUUGAUUGGUUUGGUUCAUGAGAAUAAGAUUAAAAGGGACAGUUGGGGGUAUUCAUAUUCAAUAGUCAGAGGUGAAAUUCUCGGAUUUAUGGAAGAUGAACAAGUGCGAAAGCAUUUACCAAGGAUGUUUUCAUUAAUCA
rnacentral:rRNA from 1 species